CCCAUCCGGACUAUGUGCCGAGCAUCCUGAAUAUCCCCGUCGCUGGUGCCCGAGAUCAUGGUCCAAGUGGCGUGCCAGCCCUCCAGGACUGCGACCACUCGCACUCUUCUUCUCCAGAGACCGACUGGUCACGGGAUGAAGAAAUGCAUGCGGCGGCAGGACCCAGUGGCAUGCCAGCAGUCCAGGAUUGUGACCCC